rnacentral:rRNA from 1 species
AAUGGGCGCAAGCCUGAUCCAGCAAUGCCGCGUGCAGGAUGAAGGCCUUCGGGUUGUAAACUGCUUUUGUACGGAACGAAAAGGCUCUGUCUAAUACAGAGAGCCGAUGACGGUACCGUAAGAAUAAGCACCGGCUAACUACGUGCCAGCAGCCGCGGUAAUACGUAGGGUGCAAGCGUUAAUCGGAAUUACUGGGCGUAAAGCGUGCGCAGGCGGUCUUGUAAGACAGAGGUGAAAUCCCCGGGCUCAACCUGGGAACGGCCUUUGUGACUGCAAGGCUGGAGUGCGGCAGAGGGGGAUGGAAUUCCGCGUGUAGCAGUGAAAUGCGUAGAUAUGCGGAGGAACACCGAUGGCGAAGGCAAUCCCCUGGGCCUGCACUGACGCUCAUGCACGAAAGCGUGGGGAGCAAA